rnacentral:rRNA from 1 species
UAGGGAAUCUUCGGCAAUGGACGAAAGUCUGACCGAGCAACGCCGCGUGAGUGAAGAAGGUUUUCGGAUCGUAAAACUCUGUUGUUAGAGAAGAACAAGGACGUUAGUAACUGAACGUCCCCUGACGGUAUCUAACCAGAAAGCAACGGCUAACUACGUGCCAGCAGCCGCGGUAAUACGUAGGUGGCAAGCGUUGUCCGGAUUUAUUGGGCGUAAAGCGAGCGCAGGCGGUUUCUUAAGUCUGAUGUGAAAGCCCCCGGCUCAACCGGGGAGGGUCAUUGGAAACUGGGAGACUUGAGUGCAGAAGAGGGGAGUGGAAUUCCAUGUGUAGCGGUGAAAUGCGUAGAUAUAUGGAGGAACACCAGUGGCGAAGGCGGCUCUCUGGUCUGUAACUGACGCUGAGGCUCGAAAGCGUGGGGAGCAAACAGG